CACUUCUAAGGAAGGCAGCAGGCGCGCAAAUUACCCAAUCCUGACUCAGGGAGGUAGUGACAAGAAAUAACAAUAAACCGGCUUAUGCCGGUUUAAUUGGAAUGAGUACAAUUUAAACAUCUUAACGAGGAACAAUUGGAGGGCAAGUCUGGUGCCAGCAGCCGCGGUAAUUCCAGCUCCAAUAGCGUAUACUAAAGUUGUUGCAGUUAAAAAGCUCGUAGUUGGAUUUCUGUGGGGACGGAGCGGCCGGCCGCACAUCGCGGUUCGAGCUAGCGCUUUCCCUACAUCCUGCCGCGAACCGUGCUACCAUUAGUUUGGUGGCGCCGGGGAUCGGCUCGAUUACUUUGAGAAAAAUAGAGUGUUCAAAGCAGGCCACAUGCCUUGAAUAAGUUAGCAUGGAAUAAUAACUAAGGACUUCGGUUCUAUUUUGUUGGUGUUCGGGACUGAAGUAAUGAUUGAUAGGGACAGUUGGGGCGGUCUGUAUUCCAAAGCGAGAGGUGAAAUUCUUAGACCUUCGGAAGACAAACAGCUGCGAAAGCGUUCCGCAAGGAUGUUCCCUUUGAUCAAGAACGAAAGUUGGGGGAUCGAAGACGAUCAGAUACCGUCGUAGUCUCAACUAUAAACUAUACCAGCUAGGGAUCGGCCAACGUUAUUUUAUACCGACUUGGUCGGCACCUUAUGAGAAAUCAAAGCAUCUGGGUUCCGGGGGGAGUAUGGUCGCAAGGCUGAAACUUAAAGGAAUUGACGGAAGGGCACCACCAGCCGUGGAGCCUGUGGCUUAAUUUGACUCAACACGGGAAAACUUACCAGGUCCAGACAUAGUAAGGAUUGACAGAUUGAUAGCUCUUUCUUGAUUCUGUGGGUGGUGGUGCAUGGCCGUUCUUAGUUGGUGGAGUGAUUUGUCUGGUUAAUUCCGUUAACGAACGAGACCCCAGCCUGCUAAAUAGCGCGCGUGAGCUUUGCUCGCGGCGAGCUUCUUAGAGGGACUAUGAUGCGCGAUAGCACAUGGAAGUUUGGGGCAAUAACAGGUCUGUGAUGCCCUUAGAUGUUCUGGGCCGCACACGGGCUACACUGGCGCCUGCAACGAGCAUAUCAGCUGGCCCGAGAGGGUCUUGGCUAAUCUUUUGAACCGGCGCCGUGCUUGGGAUUGACCUUUGCAAUUGUUGGUCAUGCAACGAGGAAUGCCUUGUAAACGCGAGUCAUCAGCUCGCAUUGAAUACGUCCCUGCCCUUUGUACACACCGCCCGUCGCUCCUACCGAUGAAUGUUCCGAUGAAAUUUUCGGAGAGCACCUGUGAACUUGGCUCUGCCUUGCGAACGGGAGGCUCAAAGUCACUUAAAUCUGAACAUUUCG
rnacentral:rRNA from 1 species